rnacentral:rRNA from 1 species
GUGUCAGCCGCCGCGGUAAAACGUAGGGGACAAGCGUUAUCCGGAUUUACUGGGCGUAAAGCGCAUGUAGGUGGCUUGACAAGUUGGACGUGAAAGCUCCCGGCUUAACUGGGAGAGGUCGUUCAAAACUGGCAAGCUUGAGGUUGGAAGAGGAGAGCAGAAUUCCCGGUGUAGUGGUGGAAUGCGUAGAUAUCGGGAGGAAUACCAGUGGCGAAAGCGGCUCUCUGGUUCAAUACUGACACUGAGAUGCGAAAGCGUGGGGAGCGAACGGGAUUAGAUACCCUUGUAGUCC